rnacentral:rRNA from 1 species
GGCGAGUGAAGCGGCAACAGCUCAAAUUUGGAAUCUGGCUCCCUCUGGGGGUCCGAGUUGUACUUUGCAGAGGAUGCUUCGGCGUGGGCCCCGGUCCAAGUUCCCUGGAACGGGACGUCGCAGAGGGUGAGAAUCCCGUACGCGGCCGGCGGCGCUCGCCAUGUGAAGCUCCUUCGACGAGUCGAGUUGUUUGGGAAUGCAGCUCUAACUGGGAGGUAAAUUUCUCCUAAGGCUAAAUACCGGCCAGAGACCGAUAGCGCACAAGUAGAGUGAUCGAAAGAUGAAAAGCACUUUGGAAAGAGAGUCAAACAGUACGUGAAAUUGUUGAAAGGGAAGCGCUUGCCACCAGACCUGACCGCGGUCGCUCAUCCGGGCUUCUGCCCGGUGCACUCCUCUGCGGUCAGGCCAGCAUCGGUUCCGGCGGUCGGACAAAGGCGGCGGGAAUGUGGCUCCUCUCGGGGAGUGUUAUAGCCCGCCGUGUCCUGCGGCCAGCUGGGACCGAGGUCCGCGCUUCGGCUAGGAUGCUGGCGUAAUGGUGGCAAGCGGCCCGUCUUGAAACACGGACCAAGGAGUCUAACAUCUGUGCGAGUGUUUGGGUGUCAAGCCCGAGCGCGCAAUGAAAGUGAACGGAGGCGGGAACCCUUUGGGUGCACCGUCGACCGAUCCUGAUGUCUUCGGAUGGAUUUGAGUAAGAGCAUAGCUGUUGGGACCCGAAAGAUGGUGAACUAUGCCUGAAUAGGGUGAAGCCAAAGGAAACUCUGGUGGAGGCUCGCAGCGGUUCUGACGUGCAAAUC